AUUCCAGCUCCAAUAGCGAAUACUAAUUCUGCUGCAGUUAAAAAGCUCGUAGUUGAACUUCUGGUAGGACAGAUCCGGCCUUUGGAUGAAUGUCCAUUGUAUGCUGUGUGUCUUGUCUGGCCAUCCUUUAUGUCUUUUAGGCGUAAUCUUUCACUGUAAAAAAAUUAGGGUGUUUCAAGCAAAAGUUAUUUGGAAUAUAUUAGUAUGGGAUGAUAAGAUAGGCUCUUGAGUGCUACUUUGUUGGUUUAUACACUUAGAGAAUGAUUAAUAGGAGCAGUUGGGGGUAUUCGUAUUCAAUUGUCAGAGGUGAAAUUCUUGGAUUUAUAGAAGACGAACUACUGCGAAAGCAUUUACCAAGGAUGUUUUCAUCA
rnacentral:rRNA from 1 species